UGGUGAAGUUGUACCUGUCCCAAGUUUUUUUCUGCUAGGUGAGUUUUGCUGUGGGGGAACAAGCUAUGCAGAAGAACACAGCUCAAGAGACAGAUGAAGUAGUGAGUGGGUUCAUUAGAUCCUCUGGGGCAUGUGGACUCUCAAAAAGCUCCAAUGUCCAAAUCAGUAGCUGGAAUGGAGACUGAGUCCACACCAGGAAGUGAUGCUAAGAGAGUGGGUGUGCCUGCUUACAAAGCCACAGAUGCCUCGAGGGAUUCCAUGCAGUAUGACCCCAUGCACUGCAAUAUUUCUUGGGAGAAGCGUCACAGACAGCAUCCUGGCAGUUACUGCAGCAGUUGUUCAUCUCCAUGAAAGACAUCCAGGCCAGGUGAGUGA
rnacentral:lncRNA from 1 species